rnacentral:ncRNA from 1 species
CGCUCGUCGAUAACGCGAUGACCAAGAAGCCACAGAUCGUCCAGAUCGAGCCGACCGACAAGACCUUCAAGACGAGUGGCUGCCAACCGUGGCAGCCGACCAGCGACGCCCCGCCGCCGAACACUCCGGGUCCUCAGGUGCAGGCCGGCCUGGGAAUCCUGAACGGAUUGCUCGCGCCGCACGGCCCCUGAUCUAGGCGGGUG